rnacentral:rRNA from 1 species
CAGCAGCCGCGGUAAUACGAAGGGUGCAAGCGUUACUCGGAAUUACUGGGCGUAAAGCGUGCGUAGGUGGUGGUUUAAGUCCGUUGUGAAAGCCCUGGGCUUAACCUGGGAAUUGCAGUGGAUACUGGGUCACUAGAGUGUGGUAGAGGAUAGUGGAAUUUCCGGUGUAGCAGUGAAAUGCGUAGAGAUCGGAAGGAACAUCUGUGGCGAAGGCGACUAUCUGGGCCAACACUGACACUGAGGCACGAAAGCGUGGGGAGCAAACAGGAUUAGAUACCCCCGUAGUCCCUGUCUCUUAUAA